UUCUUGCAGCUAUGUAGUUAGGUGCAUUAGGUGCUCUCUCUCUCUCUCUCUCUCUCUCUCUCACUCUCUCUCUCUUUCUCUCUCCCUCUCUCUCUUUUUUUCCCUCUUUCUUUUUUUUCUUUUACUCUCUCACACAUCUACCCAUAGACAUCUACUCCCUUUUCAGUCCGUUUCUGUUUUCUCAUUCCUCUCCUAACCUCCCUCAUUGCUGUCUUCCUCAUGAGAGUUUCCUCUUCAUGCGCAACAACUGGUAGCUCUCCCCCUUUUUUCUCCUCCUCCUCCUCUCUUCUCCUGUGCGGAAGGUCCGCUUAUCUUCCAGCACCUGUGCUUUGAAGGGUGUUGGAGUGCAAAGUGGGGAGGGUGGGGGGGAUCCUGUGGUUUUUGGGCACAAGCCAAGGAGGCAAGAGGAAGCCACGAGGUUUAGAGCUUCUUUCCGGCGUCAUCAUCAUCAGCAGUAGCAGCAGCAGCAGCAGCAGCAGCAGCGACGGCGGCAGCAGCAGCAUCAGCAGCAGAGGCGGCAGAGGCGACAGAAGAGGCAGUGCAUCCCUCAGUCUCGCGCUCAUUCUGCUGCUCAAGAGGAACAGGAGAAGAGGAGCUCGCGGCUUUGUGCUCGCUCUGAGAGCUGCGGAGAAAAGAGAAACAGAGUAACGGGAAGAGACUGACAGGCAUCCUUGGAUCCUGGCUUGUGCAUCUCCGUGUCAUGUGGAGUGUCUGUGACCAUCUGGAUAAACCCACAACUGCUACCGUAUGAGUCUCUAGUUCACCAUUCAGAUGCAACCUUUGGCUGGCUUGCCUUGUGAAAAAAGCCCCAUCUUCAAUCAAUCCCCCUAGAGAGAAGGUCUCUGGUGUUGGCCUGUGUGCCACGGUGGAUGUAUAAGUGUCAGGCACUUCCCUCCUCCCUCUUCUUUCUGAGGCUCUCUUCGGUGACGGGUAUUCUUGGGUGGAUAAUACGGAUCACGUUGUUAUUGCUUAAGAAUACGCGUAGUUGAGGAGAGUCAUUUUCAACCGUGCCUUCAGGGAGCUGACCUCGGCUUAACCGCUCUCCAGACGUCCUAGCCGAGCGCUGUUGUUAGAGGAGGGGGAAAAAAAAAUGAGGGGAAAAGAGUGAACGUUUCUAUCGAGGUUCAUUUAUCAGUGCAGCAGAUAAUCAUUUCCCCAGCGUUUGCAUUGAUUUCUCUACGGCAAGCCUUCAUGUUGUUAUUACUCCAGCGUUCUAGCGAGUUGUAUCAGGAGGCUGGCAUUUCCUGCUCGCCGAGACUUCAUCCGUAUCUGCUGUGCAUUUAUAUUUCUCCCACCAUCUCGCUAUCAUCCAUCCUGCCAAAGUGAUGUUUUAUGUAGUGCUAUUCAACCACUCUGCAUUCUGCAUUUCACACAAUUUGCUUGGUUUGCUUAGGGGGGUGGUGUGUGGGGUAGUGGCGGUGGUGGAGGGGGGGGGGUUACAGGCUGUUUAUUCUUUACUCUCUUCAGGGAGCAUUUCAGUGUGCACACGCCUGCUCGCCUCUCUGAUGGGAAUGCAUUUACUGCUUUUUAUUCUUGGGCCUUUAAAGGCUCUACGAUCCCUGGACUGCGCUGAGUGCACACUCAGCCUGAUUAUGAGAAGGCACAAAAUGCAUAUGAAGGCCUCAUUUAGACAGGCAAAGAUACUAUUUUUUUUUAUUUUUUAUAGCGCAGCAUGAGAAAUAGCGAAACGCCGUCUUCUACUCAAGAAAUCCAGACGCAUAGCGGAGUCUAUCUAGCAUUCUUCACACGGUCCCUUGUGACUGCCUCUAUACAACUGAAAUGUCUUGAACGGCUUUCCUCCUACUGAUAAAGAGCCUUUACGCAAAAUGAUGUGCUCUGUAAAAACACUAAUUGCAUUUUAAUGAUGCUCACCAAACGUCUGACGUGUGUUUCUGAAGCCCAGCGAAGCCUGUGCCACAUGAUAAUGACCAUCACUUUCCAUAUAGUCGGCCCAUUUAAAUGCCAUCACAUUCAUCUUCAAAAGCAUAAUAUAUUAACCAAAGAGCAGCGAUUCAUUACGCUCAAUCUAAUAACGUGAAAGUGGAGCAUCUUACUUAUAUCAAUAGUCCCCAUUUGUUAUGGAUUAUAGAGUACAGAACCACAGCCUUCAUUAAAAACAAAUGCUGUGUUUUUUUAAUGCAUUCGGACUAAUCAUAGCUCACCUUAAGAUAAAAAAUGAAAUGUUCUGUAUAAGACCAGAGAUUUAAUUCAUUAAGCUGUGAAAGACAGGGGGAAAGCUGUUAUAGCCUUAUUCCCUCUGACAAAUACAGUGGGCAAAGUUAUAAUGUUUUAUAUUCAGUAAUAUAGAAAAAACCAGACACAUGUAGCGUGCUAGUCUAACUAGCAUUUCCUAACCAAUAAAUCGUCCCUAGCUAAAAGUGUUGCAAACAUUUUUCUUAACUCACUUCAUAACAAAUGCCCAAGUAUGACUGCACCAAGAAACAGAUUUCUAGCUUUGUUCUUUAGGAAAAUAAAAAGGGAUAAAAAAUUAGCAUCUUAAAGCAGCGACACAUUGGUUCAUUAAUGAGAUUCAUUCUCAGUGCAAAACUGCAGAUAAACCAAAAAGUACAAAUAAUAAUAAAAAAAAUAAGGAAGUAAUUUCAAGAAACUUUGUCCACGAUUCAGUUAGCAAUUGAAGGCAUCUUGAACACUUAAGUUAAGCUGCUUUGUUAGUGCAGAGUGAAAUAUAGAUUGAAGGUAGAGCUCUCUAGUGAAUAAUUACCGCAGUAAAAUAAAAAAAAUUAAAAGGGAAAAAAAAAAAAGGAUUUAAAUUAAUUCUUCUUUUUUUUUCCGAGGGGCUAAAACUCUGGUUAUAUCCACUGAUGAAAUUAAAAGCAUUGUUCGAAUGUUAUUAAGCGUUUUGAAUAGGGAAGCAGUGAAGUAGAAUCAAUUGCUCAAAAAGCGUUGGAGCACGGUGAUUGGAGUACGCUGAUGAAUUCUUAAUACAGACGUCAAUAUUUCUGAUAGACUUCUCAGCUAAUUGCACUAAAAUGGAUUGAAAAAGGCAAAAUCUCCGUCAGGACGCUGCUUAUACGCAGUGUUUAAGUGAAAGUUGCUAUAUUCCACGUAUCCUAAAGCAAAGCAAGGAGCUAAGACUCCAGAUUAGGUGAUUCAUCUUGACCCUGGUGUAGAGGAUUCAUCUUGAAAGCCAAGUGACUAUCCAGGGUUCAUUUUUGAAUAGAAAUGUGAUCAAAACUUACCAGAAGUUUCUCUAGGCCUGACCUGAAUAUAGGUGAGCUGACUCCCCAGUGCUGGAUUUACUACUACACAUCAUUCAUACCUGGAGUUGGGGUUUAAAUUGUGUCCAAAACCAACAUGAUGAGAUUCUGUCAGAUUUAGACAGCUGGAUUAUGGGGGACUAGUAAAUUUGGGGGGGUACAGAGAUUAUGAGUAUUAGUAUAUUAUUAAUGACUUAUUUUUGUAUGUUUCAAACCAAAUUCAUGUUUCCAUUGUGGUUUCGUUCGUAGAGUCUCGUCUCUACCAUUUCUAUGUUAAAUAAAAUGACUUAUGUCUGAAGAGUUUUUGUGUAAAGAUGCAUUUUUAUCAUAUACAUCGUGUAAGGACUUGGACAUUUAUCGACAGUCAAUUCAAUCAUACCUCAUGUCAUGCAUUUAUGUGAUUAAAGAGGAUGUACUAGAGAUCAUUAUUUAAGGUUGAAAUGCUGCUCAAUGGAAACUGAUUCAAAUGUACUACCAUGUUUUUUUUUAUUGUGAUUACAUGUUAUUGUGUUAUGAAAAUGUGAUUUCAGCCUCCUAAAUACAGCAUAGCGUGUUUCAUAGUGAUGCCUUAAAAGAAAACCCAUGUGUGCUAUUUUUCUUCAAUAAAUGCACAACUUUAAGACUCA